UACGGAGGGUGCAAGCGUUAUCCGGAUUCACUGGGUUUAAAGGGUGCGUAGGAGGACAGGUAAGUCAGUGGUGAAAUCUCCAAGCUUAACUUGGAAACUGCCGUUGAUACUAUCUGCCUUGAAUACCGUGGAGGUGAGCGGAAUAUGUCAUGUAGCGGUGAAAUGCUUAGAUAUGACAUAGAACACCAAUUGCGAAGGCAGCUCACUACACGAAUAUUGACUCUGAGGCACGAAAGCGUGGGGAUCAAACAGG
rnacentral:rRNA from 1 species